GUGCAGCAGGCGAGAAAACUUCACACUGUGUCGAAAGCACGAUGAGGGAAUCCCAAGUGCCAGCUCGUAAGAGUUGGCUGUUUUUCUGUCUAAAACACAGAGAGAGUAAGAGCUGGGUAAGACGGGUGCCAGCCGCCGCGGUAAUACCUGCAGUUCGAGUGGUGACCGUUAUUAUUGGGCCUAAAACGUCUGUAGCCGGUUUAGUAAAUGCCUGGGUAAAUCGUGUAGCUUAACUAUACGAAUUCCGGGUAGACUGCUAAACUUGAGACCGGGAGAGGCUAGGGGUACUCCUGGGGUAGAGGUGAAAUUCUGUAAUCCUGGGGGGACCACCAGUGGCGAAGGCGUCUAGCUAGAACGGAUUUGACGGUGAGGGACGAAGCCCUGGGGCGCAAACCGGAUUAGAUACCCCCGUAGUCC
rnacentral:rRNA from 1 species